rnacentral:rRNA from 1 species
GUGAAUCCCUUGGCUCAACCAAGGAAGGGCAUUUGAAACUGUCUGGCUUGAGUACGGGAGGGGGAAGUGGAAUUCCCGGUGUAGAGGUGAAAUUCGUAGAUAUCGGGAGGAACACCGGUGGCGAAGGCGGCUUCCUGGACCGAUACUGACGCUGAGACGCGAAAGCGUGGGGAGCAAACAGGAUUAGAUACCCUGGUAGUCCACGCUGUAAACGAUGAGUGCUAGCUGUGGUGGGUAUUGACCCCUGCAGUGCCAAGGGCGAAUUCCACAGUGGAUA